ensembl:lncRNA
CAAAUAAUGAAUGAGAUUAGAGAGAAAGGAAGCAGAGAGAGAAGGGGGAAAAGAAAGUCUUGCAUAAGGAGUGGGGAAUAAAAGCAACAGCCUCCGACUAGCCCCUCAGAAAAAGAGAGAAAGAGAAAGCUUGAUUAUUUUCUGGGAAAUAGUAUAGAAAGGCUGAGCAGGAAGUGAGUGUAUGAGAGAAUUUGAAAAUGAUGGAGGGAAAACUUUCUGGAAAAGCAAGUAGAGUGCAGAGACAUGAAUGCCAAGGAGAAAAAGCGUUGUUAUGAACAGGCUUGAAGUUUUGCCAACAUUCUGAAUGUAAGUGAACAGAGUGAGAUAUAUUUCUGACUGCAGCAGAUACCAUCCUCUUGAGAUCUACUUGCAUUUUGUUUAGUUGUGAAGUUUGUGAAUCAUCUCGUAAAAUGUUCCCAUUAAAGCAUAGGUAGGGUGUGGAAGUGAGGUGAGCAUGCUCAGUAGAGGGAAUAGCAGGAACAGAGGUGAAGAGAAUAAGAAAAAGGAACUGGAAUUGUGAGAACAACGAAGAGUUCUGUUUUACUGGAGUAUAGGAUUCUUGAUGUGGAAUAGAACAAGAAUUGGUUGGAAAUUAGAUUGGAGUAGGAUCACACAGGUCUUAAACUUUAAGUUGAGGAAUAGAAUUUCCAAUUUGUUCAAUAGAGAGUUUUAUCCUGAGAACUUGCUGCAUUUUUUUUUUUUUUUGAGCGUAUGACAUACUCAAAGUGGGUGGAAGUGUCUCAUGCUCUGAUAAGAAGUCAAGAUUAAUGAUACCAAUUUCAAUGCCUUUUAUGUAGAGGUCAUAUUUGAAGCCUUGGGAGAGAUGAUGUGGUCCAGAGAGAAAAUGUAGGGAAAGAAGAGAUCAUUUAGAACAGAACCUUAAAGAAUGCUUACUCUUUUUUUUUUUUUUUUGCUGAGGAAGAUUAGCCCUAAGCUAACCUCUGUGCCAGUCCUCCUCCACUUUAUAUGUGUGGCUGACCAGUGGUGUAGGUCCAUGCCCAGGAUCUGAACCUGCAAACCCAGGCUUUGAAGCAGAGCACGCCAAACUUAACCACUACGCCACAGGGCCGGCCCCUACUUACCCUCUCAAAUAAUCCAGAUAAGAAAAGAAACCAUUGAUGAAGACAGAGAAAUCAGAAAAGAAUCUGAUUACACAUUGCCAUAGGAGCCAAAUAGAAAGUUUUAACAAGCAAUGAUGUGUUUAACCGUACUGAAAGCUGGGGAAAAAAGAUUUAGGAGGAUGUAAACAGAGAAGAAUUCAUGAGGCUUGACAAUUUGUAGGUCCAAAAAGUAUGAUGAGGACAAGGAUCACAGAGAGACUCAGGCAUUGAAAGCACUGAUGUCAAUCUCAGGCAGCUGACUUUGCCCACUUGAAUGUGAGCAGAGCUGAUGCAGGACACCGCUGAGAAGAACCUUUAAGGAUCAUCACUUGGUUCUGCCAUCACCUUUUGCCAUCUGCCACAAGCCUGACAUGUCCCACAUAAGGGCUGCCCUCUUCAUCCUGGAAGAGGAUACAGGGAAUAAAGCUUCAGCCAACUCAUAGCCAAUGUAGAACUGUGUAACAUAAGCAAAAAAUAAUUCUUUCUUUUUUUGUAAGCUAUAGAGAUUUAGAGACUGGUACUUCAAAGUAGAUGCUGCCAUAACAAAACUUCUAAAAUAUGUCCCCCUGACUUCAUGGCAGAAUAGUAGGUAGCAAUGAAACUGUUAUUAGAGACUGGAAGGAUGGUGACCUCUUAUGCAGUGGUGAAACAUUUAAUGAAACUAUAGCUACAAUAACAUAAAAAGCAGAUAAUAUGCUAAAUGACUUUCUGACCUUAGGCAAAGAGAUUGGGAAACAGAGUAUUACUAGCAUGUCCUGAUAGCUCUUGGCUGCAUUUGACAAGGUGGUACAGAAAAAGAGUUGAGCUCACAAAAGGGUUGGCCAAUUUGCAGGCAAAGAUGAAAAGAAAUGAAAGGAAGUCAGAAAGCUGAGGACUUAGAGGGUUGGAAGAUGCAACUUACUCUCAUAUCCAAAAGUGAAACUGAGAAUGCCUCUGAGUGACAAAAGCUGAUUAAAAUUCAACUUUAGGGGGCCUGGCCCGGUGGUGUAAUGGUUAAGUUUGUAUGCUCCACUUUGUUGGCCUGGGGUUCGCAGGUUCAGAUCCCAUGUCUGGACUUAGCACCACUCAUCGAAGAGAACAUUGGCCCAGAUGUUAGCUCAGCGACAAUCUUCCUCCCCAAAAUAAAUAAUAAUAAAAAAAUUUAAAAAAUAAAAUUCAACUUUGGGGAGUCACAGACCAAAGCAAAGAUAUUAGGGGUGCCUUUUGUUGAGUUGAUUAUGGCGAUAACUGGUGGUAAAUCUUUUCAGGUGUACAAAUGGCUUAAAAGAGCCUGAGGGUAUAGCUUCCCCACAGAUGUCUGAUAAACUCAAAAAACCCUCUGUGUUAAGUCUAGAGAAAGAGAGGCAUGUCCUGAAAAGAAUUGCCAAUGUGGCUGUUGGUACAAAAACCUAAUGAACUUGUUGAGAGAAUCAUACUGCCAAAAUAACCAUCAGCCUAGAUUAAAAGAGAUCGUGUCUGUUCUAAAUCUAGAGGAGACAGCAAGAAAAUCUUAGCCCUCAAGGAAGCAUAUUCUCCAAUGCCCUUUUCGGAUGUGAUCCAAUGAGGAUAAUGGAGAAGGAGGAACUGCCCAGAGGAUGGAGUCAAGAGUUGUCUACAGUCAUGGACUAGGGAGCUAGACAGAGAACAGAAUGAGACUCAUCAGGAGGCAUUUCUUCCCCCAAUGGUGGAGGACCCUCACGACAUCUACCCAGUGGGAUUUCAGAGUUGCUGUGCUCACCAGACAGUUUUAGUUUCAGUUCAUGGGUCUAAAUGAAGAGGAGCUAUAUCUGGACCUGAUGUUUAAGCUGAUCACAAAAUCCUGGACCUAGAAUUUGAAGCUGUGAUGGGAUCUAUCAUUUAAGCUGUUUUCUUCAGAUGUAGGGGGAGUAUAUUAUUAUUUGAAAGAGUGAGAAAUGAAUAUUUUUGACCAGGAGAACAGACUGUGGUCAAUUUUAUUAUUGUUUCCCACUAUUCACUAUCAUUUCCUAUAAGGGAAUUAUACAUCCCUGUCCUUUGCCAUGUAUCUCGUAGCAUCCCUCAAUGUGACAAAUUCUUCUCACUGAUAACAGGUUUGGCCAAUGAGACAUUGUGGAACUGAUAUGUGCCACUUUCCAGGAGAAGUUUUAAGAGCCAUCGCAUGGUUUUGCCACUGCUCUUUUUCCUUUGCAAUGAGACUGAGAUAGGGGCCACUCCUUUAGUCUGAGUCCUGGAAUGACGAAGACACGGAACAGAGCCAAACCUGACUCAUAGACACACAGCCAGCCUGCGCCAAAUGUGUACUUGGGCAAAAGUCAACAUUUCAUGGUAUAAGUUACUACUACAGCAUAACAGCAUAGCAGACUAAUACUGGAAUACUAUACAUAAGUGAAAAAAUUGAAAGGAAAAAUACGAAUUUUAAACAUAAAGUUUGAGAUAUGGUUACCUUUAGUAGAGAGACAGGAGAAUACAGGGAGAGGAGCGCAUAGGUAUUUAGAUUGUGGGUAUAUGGGUGUUCAUUUUAUCAUUCUUUUACUUUGCAAAUAUGAUAGAUUGAUAGAG